CCUACGGGCGGCAGCAGUGAGGAAUAUUGGUCAAUGGGCGCGAGCCUGAACCAGCCAAGUCGCGUGAGGGAGGACGGCCCUACGGGUUGUAAACCUCUUUUGCCGGGGAGCAACGGGCGUCACGUGUGGCGCCACUGAGAGUACCCGGAGAAAAAGCAUCGGCUAACUCCGUGCCAGCAGCCGCGGUAAUACGGAGGAUGCGAGCGGUAUCCGGCUUGAUUGGGUUUAAAGGGUGCGUAGGCGGAUCGUUAAGUCAGUGGUCAAAUUGAGGGGCUCAACCCCUUCCCGCCAUUGAAACUGGCGCUCUUGAGUGGAAGAGAAGUAUGCGGAAUGCGUGGUGUAGCGGUGAAAUGCAUAGAGAUCACGCAGAACCCCGAUUGCGAAGGCAGCAUGCCGGCUUCCGACUGACGCUGAAGCACGAAAGCGUGGGGAUCGAACAGGAUUAGAUACCCCGGUAGUC
rnacentral:rRNA from 1 species